rnacentral:rRNA from 1 species
ACUCCUACGGGAGGCAGCAGUGGGAAUAUUGCACAAUGGGCGCAAGCCUGAUGCAGCCAUGCCGCGUGUAUGAAGAAGGCCUUCGGGUUGUAAAGUACUUUCAGCAGUGAGGAAGGUGGGUAUGUUAAUAGCAUACUCAUUUGACGUUAGCUGCAGAAGAAGCACCGGCUAACUCCGUGCCAGCAGCCGCGGUAAUACGGAGGGGGUUAGCGUUGUUCGGAAUUACUGGGCGUAAAGCGCGCGUAGGCGGACUGGAAAGUUGGGGUGAAAUCCCGGGGCUCAACCCCGGAACUGCCUCCAAAACUAUCAGUCUAGAGUUCGAGAGAGGUGAGUGGAAUUCCGAGUGUAGAGGUGAAAUUCGUAGAUAUUCGGAGGAACACCAGUGGCGAAGGCGGCUCACUGGCUCGAUACUGACGCUGAGGUGCGAAAGUGUGGGAGCAAACAGGAUUAGAUACCCUCGUAGGCUCUG